rnacentral:lncRNA from 1 species
GUCGCAGUGGUGGCUCAGUCCCAGGGUUAUUAGCGAUGGUAGUUCGUUAUUGAAUAACGCGUUAAAUCUGAAAACGCAGCCUACGUGUUAAAGAUGACUGGCUGGAGGAGUGAAAAAAGUGUCUAAAAAGAAAUCCAGUAGAAUCCAGCAUUUUCAAGAUGUGCAAAAUAACCAUGCUUUUAUAGAAGAAUGAAAGAUUUACAAUUAGGUGAUGGUUAAAA